UGAGUCUAGGUGAACUCCGGGAGUUGGUGAUGGACAGGGAGGCCUGGCGUGCUGCGAUUCAUGGGGUCGUAAAGAGUCGGACACGGCUGAGUGACUGAACUAAACUGAACUGAACUGAGCUGUUUUCUUAAAAGUAAAGUGUGCCCAAUGAGAGUGUUUAAAAAGAUGAGUAAAUAAGAAUCAUUUUUCUUCAGAUAAGCCCUUAAGGAAAAUGAAAAAGGCCCACAGGCCGCAGAUCAGGCCUUGGGGUGAGUGGUUGUGCAGGGUCCUUCUGGAGCCCUGUCUGGGGGUCCCGCCUGCGGUGGGCAGCUGUGGUACCCCAGGGGAGGGUGUGAGACGCUGUGGGUUCUAUGCCUCAGGGGUGACUCUGGCUACUGCUCUGUCGCGAGAGGCUCUUAGAGAAGCAGAGAGAAUCUGCCUGCAUAGCACCUGGGACAGACAACUCCCAGAGUAGAAAAGUGAAGCUCCAAGACUCUGCGACAGCCAUGGCCGCUUCCCUGGCCCCCGACAGACAGACAUCUCAAAGUCGCAGCCGGGCAUCUCAGUGCGGCCGCCGCUCCUGAGCGCGGGCAUCUGUGAAUGUUUGCACCGGAGGCGAAGACACGCGGCGUCACCAAGACAGGAGCAAGGUGGGCAGGGAGCGCAGGAUCUGCGAGAGCGCAGGAUCUGUGAGUCCGCAGGCCCAGGGAGCGUCCUUCCCAGAGGCGGAGACGCUCCCAGGCUCAGCCUGUCUUUCACGGGGGGUCGGGCACUUCGUAGCUAGUAACAGAAGGGGUGGUGACACAGCUAAGUUUGGGAGGUAAACCACGGAACUCGUAAAGGUGGCUUCUCACCUGGGAGGCACACACCCACUGCACAGCUUCCUUGCAUGCCUGUGGGGCACGCUGGCCCAGGCUGGGGCUUCCGGGGAACCUGGACUUGGGCACAGACAGAAGCCACUCUUGGAAAUGGAGCCACACAGGGCAAUACAGCCCAGACCCUCGAGGGGCGCUCCUGCCGUCUCACGCGUCUGUGAGACAGUCUGAGAACACCCCAAGUACUGUCAGAGGACAGCUCCAUUCCUGCUUGCUGUUCUGCAAUCUCCCUGAAUUCUGUGGAUUUGUUUUUUUCUCAUCCAUGUUUGCAGUCAAAGACUUUGAAGAGUAAGCUGGGGUCAGAUGUGGUUCCCGACCCCGCUCCAUCCCUUACAGGCACCCAUGCUGGGCACGCCCCUCUCUUUACAAAGUGCCAGUUAUUCACAAACACAGAGAAUCCAGAAUCACUGAGCUGACACUGAGGGUGGUAGCACUUAGGAACAUUAAAAAUGCUUUAACUUAAGGAAAUCUAUUCCUGCUCAGUUCCUUACAAAUCUGAUUCCUACGGGACCCUGCAGCCUAAAACAAAGGCCCACACCGGAGAAGGAGAGGGGGCCCUGGGUGGCAGCAGCAUCUCAGGCUGGAUGAGCUCACGCCGCAGUGGGGAUGCGCGUUGCAGCAGAGGGGAGUGCGUGGGGGCCCCGCAGACGCCUGCUCUCCUUGUCGCCCAGACAGGCGGACGGAAGGAAGGACGGGUCUCUGCGGAAGCCGCCGACAUGCAGGGUCGGACAGAAGGACACGAGAGCUGACAGCUUGGGGCGCCGCAUGCACCAGGCUGCACCCCAUUAGCAGGAGGUGCUUACAGGGCAGACACGUAAGUGGCAGCAUCCGCACACACGUCUUAUCACAGGGCUCAGUGGUGCAUCAGGACCAGGAGGAACACAAGGCCUCCUUUCACAGCAUCUUAAAUUAAAAUGUGAGAGAGGAGAAAGCUGCCUGUCAGGAAGCAUCUCUGUCUCUUUGAGCGUGAGUGCUGUUUUGACAGCGCCCACUGGCUAGUGUCACCGGUGUCCUUGUAAACUUCCCUAGAAAUGGGCCGUCCCUCCCGCCCGACGGCCCUCCCUCUCAAUCUGCUCCUCCUGCAGGGCUUAAUUGAAUGUCUUGAUGCGGACCAAAAGGGUUAAUGGCAGAGCCCAAUCGCACAAUAUCUUGGAUUACAGACAGCCAGCGAGCACAGGCCGGCAGCAUGGCAACGGGCCGCACCGUGGGAACGCGGCCGACAAUGAUGGGAUUGACAGUGAGCGUGGAGAGGCCACCUUUGGGAGAGAUCGCAUCCCACAGCGAGCGGGGAAAGUGAGAAAUAGUAGCAGAUGCUGCGGGCGAUGAGCAACAGAUGCCUUCUGGCCGGGGCUGGCCAGCCAACCCGCUCCCACCGCCCGCAGGGAAGGGCCUCCCCGCCCCGCUGUGGAGGGAGGCAGCAAACACAAAUAUCGCAGAGGAAUUAAAAACAGCAGAUGGUGGCGGCAGGAUUUGAUGAGAUCAGGGUCAGGUACGGCACACACUUGGUGGCAGCAUUCAUCGCUGCCCUGGGGGAGCGGGGAACUCAGGCCCUGCCCAUGCUCAGCCUCGGGUGUGCUCGCCCGCCCCCCCGGCUGACCCCUGGACCGGCUCUGGGUGUCCCGUCACGUUUAGCAGAGUGCAGAGAGAACAUAUGUUGAAUAUUUUGUUAAUUCAAUUUGUGUUUAAAUAAUUGAUGUCAGCCGAUUCCAAAUGGGAAAACGUAAAAGCCGCCUAUGUUUGGUUUGAUACGUUGUCUCCCACCCUGUCGUGCACAGGGGGUUGUUUUCAUCACAAGACAAACCUUUGCCCCGUCAUCUCUGGCCACCGGGCCUGCAGCCCGGUCUGCCGCUGCCUGCUGCCGGCGUUCAGGACCCCCAGGAAGUCCGGGCAGAGCGGGUGGGCACCUACCUUGGAGGCCUCCUGUGGGGGCGGUGUGGCUCCGCAGGGCUCCGUGUGUGCCCGCUGCCACGUGUGUGCAGGGCCUCACAGGCUGGAGCAGCUGGUGUGUGCCUGUGUUGUGUGAGGACACGUGGACACGGCACAACGUGCCUCACAAAACCCAGUUUGAAAAACUUUCAGAACCGAGUUGAGAAACCCUCUGAGCUCACAUCCAGGGUCCACGGUCAUGGACCGCACUCAAGGUGUGUCCACUGUUCCCUCCCCACUCGGGUACCCCAGGGGCGGAGGUCUGCGGCUGUGCGAGCUGGCGGGUGCGCAGGCCUCCACCCUGCACCGCGCAGAGAGUGCACAGAGGCUGAACCCUCGCCCAGGCAGAGAAAGUGCCUCUCCUCGAGGAAGGAAGCCUAGAGAUGGUUUUUACACUUAAAAAUAAAAAGUAUGGCUUGUUUCAAUUCAAAAGUAAUAGCCGCUCACUUAGAAACAGAGGCAAGAAGAAAACAGCUGUGUUCGGCAUCCCCAGGCUGUCCUGGUCACGCUGUGGCUACGUUCUUUCCACCUUUCUUUCCCACGCACCUUUAUUGCUUAUAGAUUAUGUAUCAGUUUAAGGUAUUUACAGGAUUAUUAUUUUGUAUCUUGAUGUUUUGCAUUAUGUAUGAUGUAACCGCUUCUCUGCCCUUCAAGUAUUAUCUUGUUUGUAUAAUAUUCUAUUGAGUUGAUAGACUUUUAAACAUUUUCUCUUAAAAAUAUUUAUUUGAAUAUUUGAAUUGGUAAAAUCAUUUAGUUUUAUAGAUAAUGCUGCCAUGAAUGUGUUUUGAAAAUAAUCUUAGAGCUCAGUUUGUUUGCUUAGGCUAAUUUCCCAGGAGUGGAAGAGGGUAGAUGAACAACAUGAGAAAGCCAAUUUCCUGCUCAUAAAGGCAGCGCAUGUUCACUGGGAAGGAGAGAAACUUAGACCAACGGAAAAGGAGAGUGAGAGGCAAGCAGGCUCCAUGCGUGUUACAUAAACUUUCAUCAAAAUCGGGGUUGUCCACUCUUGCAGCCAGUUUUUCAAAAGAAUUGUGGCAAGAAACCCGCAUAAUGUAAAUACCCUCCCAAUAAUUUCCAAGUUGUCACCAUACACGCUGCCAUACAAUGAGCUUCCGAGCUAGUGUGAGCACACCUAUGUCAUUAACUCUAUUCUAAAGUAGAAUUUUAUAAAGUCUACAGAGUAUUCUUUCAUACAGAUGUUUUGUAAUUUUUAGCUAAUCCCCUUUUGUUGGUUAUUAAUGUCCUGUCUAUUAAUAUUACUAAAUAAAAUCAUAAAGAAUGUCCUAGUAUAAACAUUGUUGUAAAAAACUUAUUAUUUCUUUGAGAUACAUUUUAGGAAGUGGAAUUAGUGGUUUAAAGCAGCAUUGCAUUGUUUUAUUGUCCUCCAAAAUGUAAGCUUGUGCAUUUUUCCUAGCAGCAUUUGACAAUGUGUAUGUCCUAUAUUCUUGCUAAUAAUAAAUAUAGAUAGUUUAAAUUUUUCCAAA